rnacentral:lncRNA from 1 species
GCCUCGCAUCCCAUAACGCAGUUUCGGAGCCCCGGGUUCGAUGUUCAUGCCCCAAGCGCGGCUGUAAAGGCGGCCGAGGAGGCACUCCUAGCUGCCAUACGCCGCCGCCUUUGCGACGAUGCAUCGCGAGAUGAGGAGCCAUAUGAACCUGCCUCCGCUGCCUCCAUCAAUCCACAACUAACGCUGCCGCGUCCUCCACCGGCUAUGGCUGCCGCUGGAGCUGGAGCUGGAGCACCUACAGCAGCAGCAGCGGGAGUAGCAUCCAUGACAACAGCGGACUCAGAAGAUGGAUGGUCCAGUCGCCGUGAUUGCCGCGACCCGAAUCAAGUGCACUCGGUGGGCAAUCGAUUACAUUCGAGAUUUUCAAAAUGCGGGGUCGUACGGCUAAUAAAUGUCGUGGAUCCGGAGCCCCCCGCGAGUGCCAAGCCGCCGCCGGCAGCAGGCGUGGCCGCCGCCGCCACCAGCCCAACCACAAGAGUACCACUUCCCAACAAAUGCAAAGAAUCCGUACCACAACCGCUUUCCUGCCGUACCCGGGUUGCUGGCGGCCGUCGGCAUGAUGCCGGGGACAAAGGCCUCGAUGCCG